rnacentral:rRNA from 1 species
CCCUCCCUCUGGCGGCAGGCUUAACACAUGCAAGUCGAGCGCCCCGCAAGGGGAGCGGCAGACGGGUGAGUAACGCGUGGGAACGUACCUUUUGGUUCGGAACAACUCCGGGAAACUGGAGCUAAUACCGGAUAAGCCCUAACGGGGAAAGAUUUAUCGCCGAAAGAUCGGCCCGCGUCUGAUUAGCUAGUUGGUGAGGUAACGGCUCACCAAGGCGACGAUCAGUAGCUGGUCUGAGAGGAUGAUCAGCCACACUGGGACUGAGACACGGCCCAGACUCCUACGGGAGGCAGCAGUGGGGAAUAUUGGACAAUGGGCGCAAGCCUGAUCCAGCCAUGCCGCGUGAGUGAUGAAGGCCUUAGGGUUGUAAAGCUCUUUUGUCCGGGAAGAUAAUGACUGUACCGGAAGAAUAAGCCCCGGCUAACUUCGUG